AGGGGUUUACCCGCUCUUAUGGUCAAGUGGAUAACCAACCAGAAUUAAGCGGAUAACCAACAUUAAAAUUUUGAUAAAACACAUUUCAGAUAGAUUGCCCAUAUGGAAUCUGGAUAAAUGUAUCCGAAAAUGGUUCACAAUUAUGCAUACAAAAGUUGGUAUUGGAGCACAACCAUGUUGUUGACAAAGUCAGUAUUUUAUCUUAAUUUGAAUUAUUUUUGAUUUGCUACUUGGAGUUUAUUCUCUGUUAAGUAUUUUGCAAAACA
rnacentral:misc_RNA from 1 species